rnacentral:tRNA from 1 species
CAGAAAGUAGUUUAUAAAGAAUAUCAGCUUUGGGGGCUGAUGGAGGGGGUUGGACUCCCUUUCUGA